UUAAAUUGAAGAGUUUGAUCAUGGCUCAGAUUGAACGCUGGCGGCAGGCCUAACACAUGCAAGUCGAGCGGAAACGAGUUAUCUGAACCUUCGGG
rnacentral:rRNA from 3 species